rnacentral:rRNA from 1 species
GAUGAACGCUAGCGGCAGGCUUAACACAUGCAAGUCGAGGGGUAUAGUAGCAAUACUAGAGACCGGCGCACGGGUGUGUAACGCGUAUGCAACCUACCUUUACAGAGGGAUAGCCCCAGAGAAAUUUGGGAUUAAUACCUCAUAGUGUUAUUAGAUGGCAUCAUUUGAUAACUAAAGUUCCAACGGUAAAGAUGGCAUGCGUCCUAUUAGCUAGAUGGUAAGGUAACGGCUUACCAUAGGCUACGAUAGGUAGGGGUCCUGAGAGGGAGAU